rnacentral:misc_RNA from 1 species
GUUCAGUAAUAACUUUCCUUCGGCUCCUUCUCCAAGCUGCAGUAGCAAUAUUGGGUUCGCUGUGCGAGAAACUCAAUUUUCUGUCAAUGGAAGUAGACCGCAACAUCAUAUUCCUCAAUGAAGGUCCUGCGGCAUUUGAAGAUGCUUCUAGUCUCCUCUGGCAUUGAAGGGCAUCAUCUUUCUCGGAACUCUCAGGAUCAAUUCUCUCUGAAAACCCAUAAAGA